AAGUUAUGAUAAGGGCAUUGAUUUAGAAGAGUCUUAAAGCGCUUCCAUGCAUGUCCCAUGUAAUGGUUCCUUAUUAAGUUCUAAAAAAUGAAAUAUCUUUUCUCUUAUCUU